rnacentral:rRNA from 1 species
AUGUCUAUUUGAUAGUACCUUACUACUUGGAUAACCGUGGUAAUUCUAGAGCUAAUACAUGCUGCAAAGCCGACUUCGGAAGGGUUGUAUUUAUUAGAUUAAAAACCAAUGCCCUCCGGGGCUCACUGGUGAUUCAUGAUAACUUCUCGAAUCGCACGGCCUUGCGCCGGCGAUGGUUCAUUCAAAUUUCUGCCCUAUCAACUUUCGACGGCUGGGUAUUGGCCAGCCGUGGUGACAACGGGUAACGGAGGGUUAGGGCUCGACCCCGGAGAAGGAGCCUGAGAAACGGCUACUACAUCCAAGGAAGGCAGCAGGCGCGCAAAUUACCCAAUCCCGACACGGGGAGGUAGUGACAAUAAAUACUGAUACAGGGCUCUUUUGGGUCUUGUAAUUGGAAUGAUGACAAUUUAAUUCCCUUAACGAGGAACAAUUGGAGGGCAAGUCUGGUGCCAGCAGCCGGUAAUUCCAGCUCCAAUAGCGUAUAUUAAAGNNNNNGCAGUUAAAAAGCUCGUAGUUGAACCUUGGGCCUGGCUGGCCGGUCCGCCUCACCGGGUGCACUGGUCCGGCCGGGCCUUUCCCUCUGGGGAGCCGCAUGUCCUUUACUGGGCGUGCCGGGGAACCAGGACGUUUACUUUGAAAAAAUUAGAGUGUUCAAAGCAGGCUUAUGCUCGAAUACAUUAGCAUGGAAUAAUGGAAUAGGACGCGUGGUUCUAUUUUGUUGGUUUCUAGGACCGCCGUAAUGAUUAAUAGGGACAGUCGGGGGCAUCAGUAUUCAGCUGUCAGAGGUGAAAUUCUUGGAUUUGCUGAAGACUAACUACUGCGAAAGCAUUUGCCAAGGAUGUUUUCAUUAAUCAGGAACGAAAGUUAGGGGAUCGAAGACGAUCA